AUAUGAGUUUGAUCCUGGCUCAGGAUGAACGCUGGCGGCGUGCUUAACACAUGCAAGUCGAACGGAAAGGCCCUGCUUUUGUGGGGUGCUCGAGUGGCGAACGGGUGAGUAACACGUGAGUAACCUGCCCUUGACUUUGGGAUAACUUCAGGAAACUGGGGCUAAUACCGGAUAGGAGCUCCUGCUGCAUGGUGGGGGUUGGAAAGUUUCGGCGGUUGGGGAUGGACUCGCGGCUUAUCAGCUUGUUGGUGGGGUAGUGGCUUACCAAGGCUUUGACGGGUAGCCGGCCUGAGAGGGUGACCGGCCACAUUGGGACUGAGAUACGGCCCAGACUCCUACGGGAGGCAGCAGUGGGGAAUAUUGCGCAAUGGACGAAAGUCUGACGCAGCCAUGCCGCGUGGAUGAAGAAGGCCCUAGGGUUGUAAAGUCCUUUCGACGGGGAAGAUGAUGACGGUACCCGUAGAAGAAGCCCCGGCUAACUUCGUGCCAGCAGCCGCGGUAAUACGAAGGGAGCAAGCGUUGU
rnacentral:rRNA from 1 species